AAUGAACGCUGGCGGCAGGCCUAACAUAUGCAAGUCGAACGGAUCCUUCGGGAUUAGUGGUGGACGGGUGAGUAACGCGUGGGAACAUACCCAAAGGUACGGAAUAGCCUCGGGAAACUGGGAGUAAUACCGUAUGUGCUCGAAAGAGGAAAGAUUUAUCGCCUUUGGAUUGGCCCGCGUUGGAUUAGGUAGUUGGUGGGGUAAUGGCCUACCAAGCCGACGAUCCAUAGCUGGUUUGAGAGGAUGAUCAGCCACACUGGGACUGAGACACGGCCCAGACUCCUACGGGAGGCAGCAGUGGGGAAUCUUAGACAAUGGGGGAAACCCUGAUCUAGCCAUGCCGCGUGAUCGAUGAAGGCCUUAGGGUUGUAAAGAUCUUUCAGGUGGGAAGAUAAUGACUGUACCACCAGAAGAAGCCCCGGCUAACUCCGUGCCAGCCGCCGCUGUAA
rnacentral:rRNA from 1 species